CCUACGGGUGGCAGCAGUGGGGAAUAUUGGUCAAUGGACGAGAGUCUGAACCAGCCAAGUAGCGUGAAGGAUGACUGCCCUAUGGGUUGUAAACUUCUUUUAUAUGGGAAUAAAAUGUUCCACGUGUGGGAUUUUGUAUGUACCAUAUGAAUAAGGAUCGGCUAACUCCGUGCCAGCAGCCGCGGUAAUACGGAGGAUCCGAGCGUUAUCCGGAUUUAUUGGGUUUAAAGGGAGCGUAGGUGGAUUGUUAAGUCAGUUGUGAAAGUUUGCGGCUCAACCGUAAAAUUGCAGUUGAAACUGGCAGUCUUGAGUACAGUAGAGGUGGGCGGAAUUCGUGGUGUAGCGGUGAAAUGCUUAGAUAUCACGAAGAACUCCGAUUGCGAAGGCAGUUCACUGGACUGCAACUGACACUGAGGCUCGAAAGUGUGGGUAUCAAACAGGAUUAGAUACCCUAGUAGUC
rnacentral:rRNA from 1 species